rnacentral:rRNA from 1 species
AUUGAACGCUGGCGGCAUGCCUUACACAUGCAAGUCGAACGGUAACAGGUCUUCGGAUGCUGACGAGUGGCGAACGGGUGAGUAAUACAUCGGAACGUGCCCGAUCGUGGGGGAUAACGGAGCGAAAGCUUUGCUAAUACCGCAUACGAUCUACGGAUGAAAGCAGGGGACCGCAAGGCCUUGCGCGGACGGAGCGGCCGAUGGCAGAUUAGGUAGUUGGUGGGAUAAAAGCUUACCAAGCCGACGAUCUGUAGCUGGUCUGAGAGGACGACCAGCCACACUGGGACUGAGACACGGCCCAGACUCCUACGGGAGGCAGCAGUGGGGAAUCUUGCGCAAUGGGGGAAACCCUGACGCAGCAACGCCGCGUGAGUGAGGAAGGCCUUCGGGUCGUAAAGCUCUGUCAGAUGGGAAGAAAUGGAUGGGGCGUAAUAUCGCCCAUCCUUGACGGUACCAUCAGAGGAAGCACCGGCUAACUCCGUGCC